CAGUCGCCACGGUAAUACGGAGGGAGCUAGCGUUGUUCGGAAUUACUGGGCGUAAAGCGCGCGUAGGCGGUUACUCAAGUCAGAGGUGAAAGCCCGGGGCUCAACCCCGGAACUGCCUUUGAAACUAGGUGACUAGAAUCUUGGAGAGGUCAGUGGAAUUCCGAGUGUAGAGGUGAAAUUCGUAGAUAUUCGGAAGAACACCAGUGGCGAAGGCGACUGACUGGACAAGUAUUGACGCUGAGGUGCGAAAGCGUGGGGAGCAAACAGGAUUAGAUACCCGCGUAGUCCCUGUCUCUUAUAA
rnacentral:rRNA from 1 species